CGUGCCAAUCAAUGAACACGCAGCAGCCACACGUCUGGUGGAGAGAAGAAAGAGAGAGACUCCGGCAUCUUCAGUGUCAACGCGUUACUGUGUCGUGACCGACCUCUCACGGACUUCCUCGGCAAGGCAGUGCCAGCAUAGCCUUUCUGGCAGAGUAAUAAAUCCGCUACAAAGUCAGUCGCAUUGGAAACCCAGCAGAAGCUUCGCGCGACACGCGAGACAUAAUGUUGGCCGAGUUAUUAGAAGGCAUGCUGUUGAAAUAUAAAUUUAUCGCGCUUAUGCCGGAUAUGCAUUUGCAUGUAAGCGGGACAGUGGCUAGACAAAUGGGUAGCGCCAUCUAUGUUCUUAAAAAAAAAACAAAAACAUAGAGAGUAUAUAUAGAAACGCAUGUUUUCCUCUCGUUCUCUUUUCCCACGUACUAUCCUAGUGUAUAGAAGUGUGCAAUAAAGUAUUUCU